rnacentral:rRNA from 1 species
GUAGGUGGCAAGCGUUGUCCGGAAUUAUUGGGCGUAAAGCGCGCGCAGGCGGUUCUUUAAGUCUGAUGUGAAAGCCCACGGCUCAACCGUGGAGGGUCAUUGGAAACUGGAGAACUUGAGUACGGAAGAGGAAAGCGGAAUUCCACGUGUAGCGGUGAAAUGCGUAGAGAUGUGGAGGAACACCAGUGGCGAAGGCGGCUUUCUGGUCUGUGACUGACGCUGAGGCGCGAAAGCGUGGGGAGCAAACAGGAUUAGAUACCCUGGUAGUCCACGCCGUAAACGAUGAGUGCUAAGUGUUAGGGGGUUUCCGCCCCCCUUAGUGCUGCGGCUAACGCAUUAAGCACUCCGCCUGGGGAUACGGCCGCAAGGCUG